rnacentral:rRNA from 1 species
CCUACGGGCGGCAGCAGUGAGGAAUAUUGGUCAAUGGGCUUACGCCUGAACCAGCCAAGUCGCGUGAGGGAAGACUGCCCUAUGGGUUGUAAACUUCUUUUGUCAGGGAGCAAUUGAGUCCACGUGUGGGCUUAGCGAGAGUACCUGAAGAAAAAGCAUCGGCUAACUCCGUGCCAGCAGCCGCGGUAAUACGGAGGAUGCGAGCGUUAUCCGGAUUUAUUGGGUUUAAAGGGUGCGUAGGCGGAAUAGCAAGUCAGCGGUAAAAUUUCGGGGCUCAACCCCGUCGUGCCGUUGAAACUGAUGUUCUUGAGUGGGCGAGAAGUAUGCGGAAUGCGUGGUGUAGCGGUGAAAUGCAUAGAUAUCACGCAGAACUCCGAUUGCGAAGGCAGCAUACCGGCGCCCAACUGACGCUGAAGCACGAAAGCGUGGGUAUCGAACAGGAUUAGAUACCCCUGUAGUC